CAGUCGCCGCGGUAAUACGUAGGUCCCGAGCGUUGUCCGGAUUUAUUGGGCGUGAAGCGAGCGCAGGCGGUUUGAUAAGUCUGAAGUUAAAGGCUGUGGCUCAACCAUAGUUCGCUUUGGAAACUGUCAAACUUGAGUGCAGAAGGGGAGAGUGGAAUUCCAUGUGUAGCGGUGAAAUGCGUAGAUAUAUGGAGGAACACCGGUGGCGAAAGCGGCUCUCUGGUCUGUAACUGACGCUGAGGCUCGAAAGCGUGGGGAGCGAACAGGAUUAGAUACCCUAGUAGUCCCUGUCUCUUAUACA
rnacentral:rRNA from 1 species